rnacentral:rRNA from 1 species
AGAGUUUGAUCCUGGCUCAGAUUGAACGCUGGCGGCAUGCUUUACACAUGCAAGUCGAACGGCAGCACGGGUGCUUGCACCUGGUGGCGAGUGGCGAACGGGUGAGUAAUGUAUCGGAACGUAUCCGGAAGUGGGGGAUAGCUCGGCGAAAGCCGGAUUAAUACCGCAUAUGCCCUGAGGGGGAAAGUGGGGGACCGUAAGGCCUCACGCUUUCGGAGCGGCCGAUAUCAGAUUAGCUAGUUGGUGGGGUAAAGGCCUACCAAGGCGACGAUCUGUAGCGGGUCUGAGAGGAUGAUCCGCCACACUGGGACUGAGACACGGCCCAGACUCCUACGGGAGGCAGCAGUGAGGAAUAUUGCACAAUGGGGGGAACCCUGAUGCAGCAACGCCGCGUGGAGGAUGACGCAUUUCGGUGUGUAAACUCCUUUUAUAUG